CACAUGCAAGUCGAGCGGAGAAAGUUCUUCGGAGCUUUCUUAGCGGCGGACGGGUGAGUAACACGUGGGUAACCUGCCUUAUAGAGGGGGAUAGCCUUCCGAAAGGAAGAUUAAUACCGCAUAACAUUUUCGUUUCGCAUGAAAUGAAAAUCAAAGGAGCAAUCCGCUAUAAGAUGGACCCGCGGCGCAUUAGCUAGUUGGUGAGGUAAUGGCUCACCAAGGCGACGAUGCGUAGCCGACCUGAGAGGGUGAUCGGCCACAUUGGGACUGAGACACGGCCCAGACUCCUACGGGAGGCAGCAGUGGGGAAUAUUGCACAAUGGGGGAAACCCUGAUGCAGCAACGCCGCGUGAGUGAUGACGGUCUUCGGAUUGUAAAGCUC
rnacentral:rRNA from 1 species